AUGAAGCAAAUUGCUAACGGUCAGGAGGUGGAUGUUUUAAGUGAGAGAAAAGGGAACUGCGGAAGAAAGCCAAAAGACAUCAAUCUAGAUCAAAUACCUACCAUCCCACUUAACAAGAGGUCUACUAUCAGGUCACUUGCUUGGCAACUCGGGUGCAGCCCUACGACACUCCAUCGGAAUUUCAUGCUG
rnacentral:rRNA from 1 species